rnacentral:rRNA from 1 species
UGCGUAGGCGGGCAGGUAAGUCAGUGGUGAAAUCCCCGAGCUUAACUUGGGAACUGCCGUUGAUACUAUCUGUCUUGAAUAUCGUGGAGGUGAGCGGAAUAUGUCAUGUAGCGGUGAAAUGCUUAGAUAUGACAUAGAACACCAAUUGCGAAGGCAGCUCACUACGCGAUUAUUGACGCUGAGGCGCGAAAGCGUGGGUAGCAAACA